GACUAAAUCUGCUUUCUGUAUUUCCCUUUACAUUUCAAUCCCCCUUCAAAUCUUUGUUUUUUUCCACUGAGGAGAGAAAGCCUGACUUUCAAGUGGAGCUCGAGUGUUUACUACUAGGUUUGAUGACUCUCUUAUGAAAAUGGAUUUUGCUUUCCUUUCAGUUUUCUCCUGUUCUCAGUUCAGAACAAUCCUGUGUUUACAGCUGAUAAAACAGCCUGUCUUCAAAUCCCAGUAUAGAAUAGUUCAACUUACUGAGUCUUCCAAGAUUAUUUCCCCAGAAUGAGUGACCUGAGGGAAGACUCAUCCCAAGUAUAAACAUCCUUUCUCUGCUUGGCCAAUUUGCAAAGGAGCCAGUUUGCAUACGUACCAAAAAGCACCCUUGUCCGAAAACAUGAUAAGUACCUCGUCAAAAUCUGUUUUGCUAUUUCAACAUAAUUUGGGUUAAUUCUGCAACAUGUUAACUUUUUUUUUUCCAGUAAAUAAAUGAACGGAGAUCAAAAAACUCUUUUCUUCUUUGAGGUCCAGAUGGAAAAUGGCUGAAGUUCAGAUUAAAUGUUUCCACCAGCAGUAUGCCCAGCAGAUCUUUAUUGACAAAAAUUUUAGGUGGCUUAAACAAGAUGUAUUCAAGUAAUAAUGAAACAAAAAUAGAAAAUCAAAACCAAGGAAGAUGGAAAGACCAAUACUAGCCAUAAUGUUCAACCCUGUUUUAAAAUUUGUCUCUGUGUUUCUUCAAAAUCAUUAUAAAGGGUAGAACUUCAUUUGUUGUAGAGUCUGAAAUCUGGAAGAGAUCCUUAGAAGAAUAUCAAAGUUCACUGGAAUAAAAUUAUUUUUAAAAAUUAUCUCCAACCUGGUGAAAACUAGGUAUUUUAAAACUUUAAUAUAUAAUUAAUCUUUGUUAUGCUUCUUUAAUACAAAAAAAACUUAUGUACCCACAGAUGCACAUAUAUUAUAUCAUAGUCUCUUAUCUUCCCAUAUUGAAGGAGGAUAGAUACAUAUAUUUUACAUAUACAUUGAUUUAUACAUCACAUUUUCAUGAUGUAUGUAUGUUCGUGUACAUAUAAUUUUCCUAUAAUAAUAUUUAGAUAUAUUAAUUAACUAUCAUAAACUCUAGAUAACAGUCUCUGAAAUAACUGGCAAACUAUUCAUCAGUGACUUCACACAGGUAUUUGGGUCCUUCUGCCAUAGACCUAAAACAUAACAGAGUUCUUUCAUUGCUCAGAAUCUCAGAGAUUUCAGUGCUUAGAUUCUCUAAAAUGGAGAAUUCCCUACUGGCUGUAGUAUUGUAGAGAUCACUUUCCCUUAAAAAAAGAAAAAGAAUUGCUUCUGGGAAUCUGAUCUCUCGUUUUAUUAAAACACGUAUCGCAAAAUUCUGCCAGUGGUUUGCAGUGAAUAUCUAUAGACGGUUUAGCUGUCAUGCUUCAAAUAAAAUCUGCCAGUGAAUCCAUCAUGCUAUCUAAUACUUUGCUCUACUAAGAAAAAAAAAUGCUCUGGGACAAUCCCUUCAAAGAAACGGUUCUUUACAUUCCCUGACUUUGUAUUAAAGAUACUCAAUUUGUAAAUAUUGAUUCUUCCUUGAUUUUUAUAUUGUCUAUUCUUUCCCAUAGUGGACCAAAUGCACUGAUUUUUCUGUCUAAAUCUAAAAGGGCACCAUCCACAUAUCUUUGUAUGUGACAAUUUAUAAUAGUAGGAUCAUUAUUUUUCAUUGCUUAUAGCACCAUAACUUGGAAAAAUCUGAAUAAGAAACAAUUAUAGAGUAUUAGUUCAAUAAGUUCAAGAACAUUCAUCUAAUGAAAUGCUGUGUGUUUGUUAACCUUAGUUCAUGUAAGAACAUUUAAAAUAUUCUUAAUAUGAAAAGGUUGGAAAACUUUAUAAUUUCUGAUAUGAUGUCAUUUGUAUGUUGUGUGCAUGAGUGUGAAAAGCAUUUAUAGAAAGAAGCAAAUUAGAUUCACCAAAAUGUUGAUGUAGCUCUUGCUGGUUGGUGGAAUUUGAUUAAGAAUUACUUCCUUCAUUGUUCUCUUCUGAAGAUUAUAAAUAAAUAUGCAUUCUACCUAUAAUAAGAGGAUUACUUUUUAAUUUAAAGAGCAAAUUGACUUUGGAAAAUGCUACAUUUAGAAUAUCGGCUGAGCAUGGACGUCAUGUAAAAGAACUAAACUACACUGCUUAAGAAGAUGAGAGCCAUUCAUUUUCUCCUAGGAGUGAGGAGAGAGGAAUGAAAGGAGUGAAGUUUGAUGAAAGAUGAGAGGGAGGGAGUCCAGAAAUUCCACAAGAUUGCUCAUGCUGCAGAAUAAACCUCCUUAAACAUGGUAACAAGUUAAAUCUUGGUGAGUUUGUACUUAUGUUGGAACAGGUGAGGAGUGUAGGGUCUUGCAUUUCGGUUGCCAUGGGGUGAAAGUGAAGCUCCAUCUGUGGGUUCAGGAGCCCAGAGUGGAGACCCAAGAGAACAGACGAAUUAAGAGCCAUCUGCAGGUGGGUUAGAAUCUUCCACAUUCUGUUAUUAGUUGAAGCUACUCUCUUUUGAUCUCAAAGUUUGAUCUCACCUAGCUACCUAGAAUUGAUAGAAUUAUUAAGUCUUGGGUGGAGAAGAUUGGGAUGUGGGUUAGAAGCUGAGAAAGAACCAUCCUGAACAUGGGCAGCACCAUUCAAUUGGCUGGGGUCCCAGAUGCAACAGAAAGGAAGAAUGCAGAAAAUUGUGUCAUCUAUCCAUCCAUCUAUCUAUUAUCUAUCUAUCUGUCUGUCUGUCUGUCUAUCAUCAAUCAUCUAUCUGUGACUCUUCUUUCUAGAGCAGGCAUAUUUUAUGCUGCUGCUACCCUUGAACAUCUCCAGGUUCUUUGGUCUUUGGAUUCAGGGACUUACAAUAGUGGCCCUCCCAGAGUCUCUCCAGCCAUUAGCCUCUGAUAAGGCUUCCAGCUGUCUGAACUGAGCCACUAUGUCUUCCCUGGCUCUUCAGCUUGCAUCUGGCCAUUGUGGAAAUUUACAGCCCCUGUGAUGGUGUGAGCUACUGUAAUAAACCCCUUCUUAUAUAAAUGCAUUGUUUCCUGGUUAUGUUGCUUGGCAGAACCCUAAUACAGAACUCUUUCAGGAAAUAUGGAUAGAAAGUACACAUGUCUGGUUUGCAUCAGAUGAAAUCUGCACAACAAGCUACAUAGGAGCCAACAUUACUCAAAAAAAUUCUGGGAACUUGGAUUUGAGGGAAUAGGGAAUAGCCCUGGAUGGGUUAUGAUGGUUUGGGUAAUACUGUUUAAAGAUGGGGGGGAGUAUAUGUGAU